UUUCGCCCUUGUUGCCCAGGCUGGAGUGCAAUGGCGCCAUCUCAGCUCACUGCAACCUCCACCUCCCGGGUUCAACCAAUUCUGCCUCAGUCUCCCAAGUAGCUGGAAUUAGAGGUGCCCGCCACCAUGCCUGGCUAAUUUUUAUAUUUUUAGUAGAGACGGGGUUUCACCAUGUUGGCCAGGCUGGUCUUGAACUGCUGACCUCAAGUGGUCCACCCGCCUCGGCCUCCCAAAGUGCUGGGAUUACAGGCAUGAGCCACUGCUCCCGACCUGCAAUUCUUGCUAUGAGUUAAUAAAGGGAUCCAGUAACUGCUCCCAGGGAAAGGAUAUCAGCUUGACCUGCAGCUGACAGCUAGUAGUAACUGUAAGCCACAUGAGCGAACAAUCUAGGCCAUCCAGCCCAGAAGAACAUUAAGAUGACUGCAGCUCCAGCCAACAUCCGGCUACAGCAACCUACGAGAAGCCAAAUAAGAGCAGCGUAGCUCAGUCCUCCCAGAAUUUGGGACCCAGAAAAUAAAAGGGAAACUAAACAGGUAAACAAGUUGUUGUUUUACAACACUGUGUUUGAGAGUAAUGUGUUAUGCAGUAAUAGGCAAGAAAGUCUUGUUCCUCUCGUGUGUCCUUUUGGGUUUUUACUUGGGAGCCUGGUAUAAUCGGUCUCUCCGAUUUUAAGGAUGACAGACUUCGCACCUCUAUCCUGGAGAAUUUAACAUCUCCCACUCUGAUACAGUUUGGAUGCGUGUCCCCUCCAAAUCUCAUGUUGAAAUGUGAUCCCCAGUGUUGGAGGCGGGGCCUAGUGGGAGGUGUUUGGGUCAUGGGUGUGGAUCCUUCAUGAAUGGCUUGGUGCUGUCCUCAUGACAAUGAGUUCUCACCAUACAUCUUUUUCUUUUUUUGAGUGUGUAACAUCUCCCCAGGUCCCCUUGCUCCUGCUCUCCCAUGUGCGUGCCUGCUCCCUUUGCCUUGCACCAUGAUGAGACCUCACCAGAAUCAGAUGCUGGAGCUAUGCUGGCACAGCCUGCAGAAUCAUGAGCCAAUUAAACCUCUUUUCUUUAUAAAAUUCCCUAGCCUCAGGUAUUUCUUUACAGCAGUGCAAGAAAGGCCUAACACACACCCCAUCCAGCUUCAAGAAUCAGAAAAAUGCUACACCUGGUCUGGUCAACAUCAGUUACUCUCAUAAAGGAAAUUAAACCAUGUUGAUGGAUGGAUGAACCAAAAGGAAAAGAGAUCAAUGACACAGAUUAAUUUGCUUCUGAAGAAUAUUUUUCAUUGUGUAUAAUAUGCUGUGGAAUAUGAGUAUAGCAGGUUCUGGAAUGAGCUUGUGUUA
rnacentral:lncRNA from 10 species